CUGGUAGUCCACGCCGUAAACGAUGUCUACUUGGAGGUUGUGCCCUUGAGGCGUGGCUUCCGGAGCUAACGCGUUAAGUAGACCGCCUGGGGAGUACGGCCGCAAGGUUAAAACUCAAAUGAAUUGACGGGGGCCCGCACAAGCGGUGGAGCAUGUGGUUUAAUUCGAUGCAACGCGAAGAACCUUACCUGGUCUUGACAUCCACAGAAGAAUCCAGAGAUGGAUUUGUGCCUUCGGGAACUGUGAGACAGGUGCUGCAUGGCUGUCGUCAGCUCGUGUUGUGAAAUGUUGGGUUAAGUCCCGCAACGAGCGCAACCCUUAUCCUUUGUUGCCAGCGGUUAGGCCGGGAACUCAAAGGAGACUGCCAGUGAUAAACUGGAGGAAGGUGGGGAUGACGUCAAGUCAUCAUGGCCCUUACGACCAGGGCUACACACGUGCUACAAUGGCGCAUACAAAGAGAAGCGACCUCGCGAGAGCAAGCGGACCUCAUAAAGUGCGUCGUAGUCCGGAUUGGAGUCUGCAACUCGACUCCAUGAAGUCGGAAUCGCUAGUAAUCGUGGAUCAGAAUGCCACGGUGAAUACGUUCCCGGGCCUUGUACACACCGCCCGUCACACCAUGGGAGUGGGUUGCAAAAGAAGUAGGUAGCUUAACCUUCGGGAGGGCGCUUACCACUUUGUGAUUCAUGACUGGGGUGAAGUCGUAACAAGGUAACCGUAGGGGAACCUGCGGUUGGA
rnacentral:rRNA from 2 species